rnacentral:rRNA from 1 species
UACGAAGGGGGCUAGCGUUGCUCGGAAUUACUGGGCGUAAAGGGCGCGUAGGCGGGUCGUUAAGUUAGAGGUGAAAGCCCAGGGCUCAACCCUGGAACUGCCUUUAAUACUGGCAACCUAGAGUAUGACAGAGGUGUGUGGAACUCCGAGUGUAGAGGUGAAAUUCGUAGAUAUUUGGAAGAACACCAGUGGCGAAGGCGACACACUGGGUCAUUACUGACGCUGAGGCGCGAAAGCGUGGGGAGCAAACAGGG